GAUCAUAGCUUCAGGACCUAAGUAGCUCCUGGGGAUGGGAAAGAGAUGACUGACUGAGGUGGUUGAUGGGAUUCUUACAGCAGGAGGAAGCAUUCCCAUGUGAAAGAUGAGCUCCCUAUAAAAGCAACGCUCUUAUCAUCGAGAACAGAAAGUUGAAGCCAAGAGAGAGCUCCACAAGCUGACCUUGUUAAACUAACCCUUAUCUUCUUAGUCGCUUCUUUACCCAAUUAACUACCCUAGCCGAAGCCCCUUUGCCUUAUUACAUUUUGCAACAGUGUUCGUUGUCCAAUUCAGUAUACAAGUGAGUGACUCUGGAUGCUUUUUGGGGUCUUCGUUUCCUUAUGAGGGCUUCUGUGCCAUGUAAAACUUGUAUUAAAUAAAUUUGUAUGCUUUUCUCCUGUUAAUCUGUCUAUAUCGAUUGAACUUUAGGGUCCAGUCAGAACCCAAAGAGGAUGGAGGUGGAGUUUUGGCUCCUCUACAGCUAUCUGAAUAAUCAAAAUUCAAGAUAUUCCAUGUUCUUUCUGAGUUUCUUUGAAAUUAAAAAUGCAGACAACCACUCAACUAAUACGUCAGCGAGAUACGUUUUCUGUCCUUAUUGCCUUACUGAUGAAAUUGCCUUUAUUCAUAAAAAAUAAAUGUG
rnacentral:lncRNA from 1 species